rnacentral:rRNA from 1 species
AUUGAACGCUAGCGGGAUGCCUUACACAUGCAAGUAGAACGGAGUGGCGAACGGGUGAGUAAUGUAUCGGAACGUGCCCAGUAGCGGGGGAUAAAUACGCGAAAGCGUAGCUAAUACCGCAUACUCUUGGAGCGGCCGAUCGCGGAGGAGCUGGUUGGUGUGGUAACGGCUCCCCAAGGCGACGAUCCGUAGCUGGUUUGCGAGGACGACCAGCCACACUGGAACUGAGACACGUGCCAGCCUCCUACGGGAGGCAGCAGUGGGGAAUUUGGGACAAUGGGGGAAACCCUGAUCCAGCCAUCCCGCGUGUGCGAGGAAGGCCUUCGGGUUGUAAAGCACUUUUGGCAGGAAAGCGGUACCUGCAGAAUAAGCACCGGCUAACUACGUGCCAGCAGCCGCGGUAAUUC